GGUAAGAAAGGAGAGGACUACAUGUUGACAGAAUCACAGAACUUCACCAGAAAGCAAGUAGAAGAUCCCCAUUUCAUUUGGCAAGAACGACAUUUCGACGGUAUUCAACUGAUUAACAUUUGUAAAAGGUCCUACAUCACACAUCAAGAUAACUAUGUCACGGAUGAUGGUCGAAAACGGGUGUUGUCCAUUGUGCUCCUGCUUUUGGCGAAGACGAUCAUUGUGUUUGCCUUGCUGUUAGGAUACUUGA